GGGUGACAGCCCCGUACACAAAAGCGCAUGUGCUGUGAGCUCGAUGAGUAGGGCGGGACACGUGGUAUCCUGUCUGAAUAUGGGGGGACCAUCCUCCAAGGCUAAAUACUCCUGACUGACCGAUAGUGAACCAGUACCGUGAGGGAAAGGCGAAAAGAACCCCGGCGAGGGGAGUGAAAAAGAACCUGAAACCGUGUACGUACAAGCAGUGGGAGCACAGGUUUACCUGUGUGACUGCGUACCUUUUGUAUAAUGGGUCAGCGACUUAUAUUCUGUAGCAAGGUUAACCGUAUAGGGGAGCCGGAGGGAAACCGAGUCUUAACCGGGCGUUAAGUUGCAGGGUAUAGACCCGAAACCCGGUGAUCUAGCCAUGGGCAGGUUGAAGGUUGGGUAACACUAACUGGAGGACCGAACCGACUAAUGUUGAAAAAUUAGCGGAUGACCUGUGGCUGGGGGUGAAAGGCCAAUCAAACCGGGAGAUAGCUGGUUCUCCCCGAAAGCUAUUUAGGUAGCGCCUCGUGAAUUCAUCUCCGGGGGUAGAGCACUGUUUCGGCUAGGGGGCCAUCCCGGCUUACCAACCCGAUGCAAACUGCGAAUACCGGAGAAUGUUAUCACGGGAGACACACGGCGGGUGCUAACGUCCGUCGUGAAGAGGGAAACAACCCAGACCGCCAGCUAAGGUCCCAAAGUCAUGGUUAAGUGGGAAACGAUGUGGGAAGGCCCAGACAGCCAGGAUGUUGGCUUAGAAGCAGCCAUCAUUUAAAGAAAGCGUAAUAGCUCACUGGUCGAGUCGGCCUGCGCGGAAGAUGUAACGGGGCUAAACCAUGCACCGAAGCUGCGGCAGCGAACGUAUCACCCAAGACAACUUUACGGAGUUGACGAUUGACGGAGCGAAGCGACGUCAAAGCGUUCAUUAAAGUCGAGUUGGCUUAGGGAUACGUUCGUUGGGUAGGGGAGCGUUCUGUAAGCCUGUGAAGGUGUGUCGUGAGGCAUGCUGGAGGUAUCAGAAGUGCGAAUGCUGACAUAAGUAACGAUAAAGCGGGUGAAAAGCCCGCUCGCCGGAAGACCAAGGGUUCCUGUCCAACGUUAAUCGGGGCAGGGUGAGUCGACCCCUAAGGCGAGGCCGAAAGGCGUAGUCGAUGGGAAACGGGUUAAUAUUCCCGUACUUGGUGUUACUGCGAAGGGGGGACGGAGAAGGCUAUGUUGGCCGGGCGACGGUUGUCCCGGUUUAAGCGUGUAGGUGUGUGUUCCAGGUAAAUCCGGUUCACUUUAACACUGAGGCGUGACGACGAGGCACUACGGUGCUGAAGCAACAAAUGCCCUGCUUCCAGGAAAAGCCUCUAAGCAUCAGGUAACACGAAAUCGUACCCCAAACCGACACAGGUGGUCAGGUAGAGAAUACCAAGGCGCUUGAGAGAACUCGGGUGAAGGAACUAGGCAAAAUGGUGCCGUAACUUCGGGAGAAGGCACGCUGACACGUAGGUGAAGUGAUUUACUCAUGGAGCUGAAGUCAGUCGAAGAUACCAGCUGGCUGCAACUGUUUAUUAAAAACACAGCACUGUGCAAACACGAAAGUGGACGUAUACGGUGUGACGCCUGCCCGGUGCCGGAAGGUUAAUUGAUGGGGUCAGCGCAAGCGAAGCUCCUGAUCGAAGCCCCGGUAAACGGCGGCCGUAACUAUAACGGUCCUAAGGUAGCGAAAUUCCUUGUCGGGUAAGUUCCGACCUGCACGAAUGGCGUAAUGAUGGCCAGGCUGUCUCCACCCGAGACUCAGUGAAAUUGAACUCGCUGUGAAGAUGCAGUGUACCCGCGGCAAGACGGAAAGACCCCGUGAACCUUUACUAUAGCUUGACACUGAACAUUGAGCCUUGAUGUGUAGGAUAGGUGGGAGGCUUUGAAGUGUGGACGCCAGUCUGCAUGGAGCCGACCUUGAAAUACCACCCUUUAAUGUUUGAUGUUCUAACGUGGACCCGUAAUCCGGGUUGCGGACAGUGUCUGGUGGGUAGUUUGACUGGGGCGGUCUCCUCCUAAAGAGUAACGGAGGAGCACGAAGGUUGGCUAAUCCUGGUCGGACAUCAGGAGGUUAGUGCAAUGGCAUAAGCCAGCUUGACUGCGAGCGUGACGGCGCGAGCAGGUGCGAAAGCAGGUCAUAGUGAUCCGGUGGUUCUGAAUGGAAGGGCCAUCGCUCAACGGAUAAAAGGUACUCCGGGGAUAACAGGCUGAUACCGCCCAAGAGUUCAUAUCGACGGCGGUGUUUGGCACCUCGAUGUCGGCUCAUCACAUCCUGGGGCUGAAGUAGGUCCCAAGGGUAUGGCUGUUCGCCAUUUAAAGUGGUACGCGAGCUGGGUUUAGAACGUCGUGAGACAGUUCGGUCCCUAUCUGCCGUGGGCGCUGGAGAACUGAGGGGGGCUGCUCCUAGUACGAGAGGACCGGAGUGGACGCAUCACUGGUGUUCGGGUUGUCAUGCCAAUGGCACUGCCCGGUAGCUAAAUGCGGAAGAGAUAAGUGCUGAAAGCAUCUAAGCACGAAACUUGCCCCGAGAUGAGUUCUCCCUGAGACUUAGAGUCUCCUGAAGGAACGU
rnacentral:rRNA from 1 species